GGGUCAGUGGGUUGGUCGUGCCACCGGUACGUACUGGUCUCACUGAUUCCUCCUUCCUGAAGAACCGUAAUGCCAUUUAUUUGGUGUUGCGGGGAAACAGGACUGUUACUUUGAAAAAAUUAGAGUGUUUAAAGCAAGCUAACGCUUGAAUACAUUAGCAUGGAAUAAUGCAAUAGGACGAUCGAUCCUAUUUUGUUGGUUUCUAGGAUUGACGUA
rnacentral:rRNA from 1 species